rnacentral:rRNA from 1 species
UACAGAGGGUGCGAGCGUUAAUCGGAAUUACUGGGCGUAAAGCGUGCGUAGACGGUUAUUUAAGUCGGGUGUGAAAGCCCCGGGCUCAACCUGGGAAUUGCAUUCGAGACUGAAUAGCUAGGGUACGGUAGAGGGAAGCGGAAUUUCCGGUGUAGCGGUGAAAUGCGUAGAUAUCGUAAGGAAGACCAGUGGCGAAGGCGGGUCUCUGGACAGUUCCUGACGCUGAGGCACGAAGGCCAGGGGAGCAAACGGG